GAGGAAAAGUGUUGACUGAGGAGUACCACACCUUGAGAAACCCAAGACAGUUUUGCAUUCUAACUCUACUGUUUUCACCCAAGAUCCUCUUCUAUGAAGGAAUUAGGAAUGCUUCUUUACCAGUUUCAUUACUGAACUCCUGGAAAACUUUAAGAAGUUGAAUGACCUCUAACAGUCCUAAGAGACAUGAAGGAUCUCAUCAAGACCACAAGACUGCUUAAAAAAUCUACAAAAAUGCUGUUUAUGACAAACUGCAGUGUUCGAGAUCAGCUCCUCUCCUUCUAUGUGAAAAACGUUUUCAGUCGUCUUGAGGUAGGAAGAGACAAGUUGUACAUUAUUAAUGCCUUCCAGGUCCUGCAAGUGAACAUGGAUGCCUGUCGUACUCACUGGAAGUGUGCAACCUUUACUCAUAUGUCCUCUCUGCUCCUCCACACUGAAUUUUGAAAGAACUGGUGGUGUCUCUCAUGAGUAAGCAGGAAUCACAAUUAGGAAGCACAUUGGAGCAUUUCCCCUGUGCCCAGUUGGAGCAGGUUUUCAGGAAGUGAUGCUGCCCACUGGCAAAAUGUCCCCAGAGUGGACCAGCUUCCAUGUGCUCCAUCCACAAGGUUAACUUCUGCAGUCAAAAAAUUAAGGAGAAUGUUUUUUAAGCUCGGAAAUAAGGGAAUCUACAAGGCCAUACAUGAGCUGGACAUUCUCCUUCCCUGGAUUCAGGCCUACAUACAAACCAUCGUAUGAAGAAUGAGGAGGUGACAGACAACAUGCUGCUGCUGUGCUAAAAACAGAUCCUUACCCAAAAGGUCUGAAAAUGAAUCAAGAGUCAGACGUGUAAUGUGUCUGUCAGUAACUGCGUCCCAUGGAAGGAGAUUGUAACACGGCAGCAUAAAGAGGGAUUUUCAUGAAUUUUCGCAGUUAGCCUGGCAUAGCAACUAUGCCUGCUCUGCCUCUGGAGCAGCUACAGCAUGCUGCUGUCCUUCUCAUCCUGCAUGCCUGCCUACCAGCUGCCACACAGGCAGCGCCCGAACACAUCACGCCAGCUUAAGUUGGA